rnacentral:lncRNA from 1 species
UUGGGGGAAAUUUCUCUUCAAAGGUUGAGUGGUGCCAAUCACAUUAAUUGUGAAGCCCAAUAAUGACCCUUUUGGAGAGGUCACACCUAGACCUAAAUGACGUGAAAAAUGAGUGGAAUGCAUGCCAUGCGAAAGUGUGAGUUUGUGUGAGGUGAGAAAAAUUACAAAAGUAAUAAGAUAAGAGUGAAGGUGUGCAAAUGUAGAUGAAAGCACUCGUGUGCGAGUGAAGAUAAAAUGUUCGUGUGCAAGUGAAGAUAAAAGGGUUCGUGUGCAAGUGGAGACAAAAAAGUGUUCGUGUGCAAGUGAAGGUGAUAAAAAGGUGCAUGUGUGCAAAUGAGACAAAAGUGAAAGUGUAAUGAUAGAGUGGAUUGAGAAUGCAUGAGCCUAGGGAAUUCAUGCAUAUUGGGUACGGGGAGACCUAAAUCGUGACUUGAUUUUCCCUUUGAUUAGAAGGCGAAACUAGCGUGCAAGUGUUUGUGUGCAAGUGUAUGAAAAGGUGCACGUGUGCAAUUGUAUGAAAAUUCCAAGUGUUCGUGUGCAAGUGUAUGAAAUAUAGUGAUAAGUGCAUAUAGGUGUGAUUAAAUGCAAUUUUGUGCAGUAGAAAUCAAAAUGAACAAUAAGGAAAGGAAAAUGUGAAUUGAAAAGAAUG